UGGAUGUGCUCAUCUAGUGAGUGAGGCCGGGUAAGAAGAGGCCCAUGGUCCGUGGGGCCCUGAGGUCCACCAGGGUUAAGGGACUGGGCAGGUGAGAAGGAGCCAGCACAGAAGACUGAGAAGGAGCAGUCAGAGAGACGGGGGGGGGGAAUCCACCGGAAGAAAGAGUGUCAAGUAGGAAGGAGGGAGCUCUCACCUCUCCAUCCUUGGGGCACCAGAUUCUGCCUCUUCGGCUCCCCUCCUUCUGUCCUCACUUCCCUCCGUCGGUUUAUUCCCCCUCUCUCUUUUUUCUUUCCUUAUCGCUUUCAGAGUCUUUCUCUACGUCUCUCUCUCCCCUGGGCUCCUUCUUUGGGCCUCUCCCUCCAAUCCUACCUGCUCGUUCCCCGGCAGCGGCAGCGGGUCGGGGACCCUGGGGCGCGGGAAUCUCCCGACAGCCACCGGCACAUGCACAUGCCAAUCUCCCAGCGUCUCAGAACCAGCACGCGGCCCCGUGCAGCGCCUCCUGCCCGUGUAAUACGCUCUAAUAUUUAUUUACAUGCCUUUCAGACUACUACUUAUUAAGGUAUCGCUGCCAACUGUGCGCGGGCUAAUUGCUCUUAAUGUGCCCCCUCCCGGUUCCCACGGUGACGCCUUCGUGAAGGCAGAGCCAGAGGCAGAGCCAGAGCCGCUCCGAGCGGGGAAACCGAGGACUGAGCGCGCGGAGGGUGCCGGGAGUGCGGGUGACCGCGCGGGGUGGGGGCGCGGGGCCGCGGAAACUGUGCAGGGAGGCGCAGACGGUGCUGGGAGCGCGCAGUUGGAGAGGUUGCUGAGAGUCUGAUGGGGGAGACACGUGGCCACACAGCCUUGAAAUGCUACUGAGAAGUACUGGUGACAGCCAUUACCUGGAGUAUGGAGGGCUGUGGGAGAGAUCCAGUCUGCUCUGGAGUGCAGGUCAGAGAAGGCUUCCUGGAGGAGGUGAGCUCCACAAUGAGCUUUGAAGGAGAUUGCCCUUGGCUAACAUCCAUCAUGGACAGAGAAAACAUGGCAAAGACGUGAACGGCUUGCUUGGGGAACACUCGGAAUCCAGACUUGGCUCCUAUGUCACUUGUUGGGAGGUGCUCUAGGAUAAAUAGCAUCCUCCCCAACCUAUCACUCCCUCCCCGCUAAUACUGCUACAUUUUUCUGCCUUAUCACCUUUGGCCCUGGUAUAUAUUUGCUUGAUUUUGUGUCUCUUGUCUGUCUCUCCCCACUAGACCAUCAGCCCCAUGAACACGGUGUUAAGGGUUGAAUUGUGUCUCCCUCCAAAUUCGUAUGUUGAAUUCCUAACCCCUCAUACCUCCGAAUGCGACUGUAUUUGGAGACAGGAUCUUUACAGAGGUAAUCAAGUGAAAAUGAGGUCAUUAUGGUGAGCCGCGAUCUAUGACUGGUGUCCUUAUCAAAAGGGGAAAUUUGGAGACACACACACACAGGGAGACGCCAUGUGAAGGCGGGAGUGAUGCUGCCACGAGCCAAGGAAGCUCCAGAGGCUGGAAUAGAUCCAGAAGGAAGCAACCUUGCUGACACCGUGACCUUGGACUUCCAGCCUCCAGAACCACGUGACAAAACACUUCUGUUGUUUGAGCUCCUGGUCUGUGGUGCUCUGUCGUCGCAGCCCUGACACGUGAAUCCGGGCGGACUCUGUUCUGUUCCUUGCUGGCUCCCCAGCCCAGAACACGGCCCGGCAUGUAGUGGGUCACAGGAUUCCCAGCUCCCAAAUGAAUUAACCCUGGUUGUGACAUGCAGUGAUGAGGGCCAGAUCUUGAGUGACAGUGGUGAGGGAGCAGAGGACCUGCGAGGCA
rnacentral:lncRNA from 1 species